CACCCUCUCCUGUCCCCCGAGCUGCCCCUUCCCCGUCCCUUCCCCGUGUGGCAGCGGGGGCCGCGCCGGGGCGGCGGGGCAGAGCGGCCCGGCCCGGCCCGGUCCGCGGGUGUGGGCGGUGGGGAGCGGGCAUUGGGCUCGGGGACAGGUCCAGGGUAAGGGGGAGCUGUGCGGUACCGGCGCGAUGUGGGGGCCGCGCUCCCCGCCAGGGCAGGGCGCGUUACCCGCUCUCCAAGGAGACGCUGCCGCGUCCGGGCCAGCGGAGGCGCCUUGGGCAGAGCCCGCCCACACACCCGCCCCGCGGCGCCGGCUUUGGCGCCGCGAGGGAGCGGGGUCUGCACUCGCCGCCCCCGGGCCGGGAGCGCCGCGGCCGCCUCAGGCAGCGGCUCGGCCGGCACAACCGCCGGGGCAGCGCUCGCUCCGCCGGCCCCGCUGGCGGCGACAGGACCUGUCGGGCGUGGGCUCGGGGCCCGCCGGGAGAUCGGAGCAGGUCGGGACGACAGAGCCUGCUGGAAGGCUCCGGCAUUGGAAGUCCCGGGCACGCCGCCCCCGGUCCGGGUGUGUGAGUGUGCGGCUUGUGAGAGGUGUAUUGGUAUAUGCCUAGACUCCUUGUUUGAGAGUAUUAUUCGGAAUAUUCCAUGUGGGGCAGUGAACUUACUUCAGAGGUGAUGAGAGACUUCUACAGCAAAAAUAGUUAAAAAUAAAGCUUGGCUCAUGCCCUAACACAGCAGUGAAAACUAGCUGGAAAAAUUAAAUCUCUGCAAGACUGUUUUUCUUCUGCGUCUGUAACUACU